GCCAUUUUGGUGCCAUUUUUUCUGCAAUUUUGCUGUAGUUUUGAUCCAAUGGCAUGAACAAGAACAACUUGCAAAUUUUAUACACCAAAUAAAUGAAGGAAACCUGUGCAAAAUAUCAACUUUACAAGUAUGACAGCUUCAUAAAUGGAGGAAACCUCGGCAAAAUAUCAAGAAUAAUUAUAGAUAUCAAAACCAGUGAUGCAACUUCACUGAUAUAAAUGUAGAGCAGAAGUUCCCUUAACCGGGAAAUAACAUCAUCCUAAUAGACACUGGUAUGUCACUCUGGGUGUAGUUCCCAAAUGUGCAAAUUCUAAUUUUAAAAGAAGUAAAUUUGUCUAGUCUGAUUUAGCUUCGGAAGUUGGUCAACUUAGAGCUCAAUUAAAGAAAAGUUCAAAAAAUUAUGGAUGGAGGGAGUGCUUUGGGAUUAAGUUAGUUGUUCCACUCAGGAAUUUUUUAUUUGGCCUGUGACUUGUAUGUUGGUGGGCGUUUAAGUGUGAAAUUAGUGGACCUUUAGUUGUAGAGAAUCCCAUAAUGAACAUAAAGGUUUCAUUUAUUCGGCUCCGACUAGAUAGGGAGUGAGGCAUAGGGGAUUGGUUAAUUUAAUGAGAUUGUAUCUGUUUUAAAGGCCAGAGGUAAAGCAAAGUAAAACAAAUCUGUGCUCCUCUCAUGCUGGUGUUGUCUUUCUUCCAUACAAUCAAAUCAAAUUUCUUCGACUUCAAGUUAUUGUCUCUUUCACUCUCCUUGUAGCUUGUCUCUUUUAAGAUUCAAGUCUGAUUGCUUUAAUUUGGUUUAAUAAUUUGAUUGUCCCACUAAGUUUACUCUGAAAUUAAUGCUUUCUUUGGCGUAUGUAGGUUGGAGCAAUCAUCUCAGGCGUUCAGCCAGGUUUAUCCAUGGUUUGGGACCCCCUGGUACGGGAAAGACUGAUAAUGCAAGUCAUUGGUUUUGGAUGGUAUGAUUACUAAAGAAGGGAUUCAUCAUGAAGAUAUGAUCCCGGUUCUGUUUAAUCGAUUGAGUUCAAGUAAAACAGACCAUAGAUUGAUUAUACUCCGAAUACUACAAGCACUGGCCGUAUAAGAUGAUGAACAUACGGUACAUUUAGUAUUUUAUUGAGUCUCAAAUAAUGAGAAUCAAGAAGCUGAAAGUUUUGAGUGGUUAAUUUUCACUUUGGUGUGCAGGAAAAGAUGGCACAAAUGGGGAAUUUAUUGAUACUGGUGAAGUCGUUGGGUCAUGAUUUGGAAGAGCAAAAAGAAGCAGUGGGGCUGUUACUGAGUCUAUCAGAUGUUGCUGCAGUUAGGAGAAGAGUCGGGAGAAUUCAAGGCUGCAUCGUCAUGUUGGUUGCAAUUUUUAAUGGGGAUGAUCAAAUGCCGUCACAUGACGCUGCCAACUUGUUAAAUUCUUUAUCAGGCAAUACCCAAUAUGCUCUUCAUAUGGCUGAGGCUGGCUAUUUCAAGCCUCUUGUACACUACUUGAACCAAGGUAUAUUUAGGACAUUUCCAUAAAUUAUAUGCAGUUCAAUAAGCUAUUUGAUUAAUUGUUUACGUAAAAUAUAUAUUCUAUGUAAAUGAUUGCAGGAUCAGACAUGAGUAAGAUUCUAAUGGCAACAGCACUUUCAAGAAUGGAACUCACAGAUCAAAAUAGAGCUAACCUGGGACAAGAUGGAGCCGUUGAACCGCUAGUCAAAAUGUUCACCUCCGGGAACCUAGAAGCUAAGCAAUCGUCUCUAAACGCGUUGCACAACUUGUCUGCCUCAAAAGCAAACGUUCAACGUCUGAUAAAAUCGGGCAUCGUUGCUACUCUGCU
rnacentral:lncRNA from 1 species